AACAUAAUAGGUCAUUUUCAUUGAGAAGUGCACUGCAUAGAAAUUCGCCAAUUUGUGGUAAAAUAAAUGACGUCAUUAAAAAAGUACAAUUGACGGCGAAAAAAACAAGCCCCCAUAUGGAUCUUGGUCUGACUCUUCCUCAUCAUCAUCCGAUAUAUCUGCAACAGGAAUAAGGAGGAACGAUGCAGUACAGCG